AGCGAACGCUGGCGGCAGGCCUAACACAUGCAAGUCGAGCGCCGUAGCAAUACGGAGCGGCAGACGGGAGAGUAACACGUGGGAACGUACCCUUUGGUUCGGAACAACCCAGGGAAACUUGGGCUAAUACCGGAUAAGCCCUCACGGGGAAAGAUUCUUCGCCGAAGGAUCGGCCCGCGUCUGAUUAGCUAGUUGGUGGGGUAAUGGCCCACCAAGGCGACGAUCAGUAGCUGGUCUGAGAGGAUGAUCAGCCUCACUGGGACUGAGACACGGCCCAGACUCCUACGGGAGGCAGCAGUGGGGAAUAUUGGACAAUGGGCGCAAGCCUGAUCCAGCCAUGCCGCGUGGGUGAUGAAGGCCCUAGGGUUGUAAAGCCCUUUCGGCGGGGAAGAUAAUGACGGUACCCGCAGAAGAAGCCCCGGCUAACUUCGUGCCAGCCGCCGCAGUAA
rnacentral:rRNA from 1 species